rnacentral:rRNA from 1 species
GCCAACAGCCAUAUAACCCUGCAGCUCUCAACUGGCUACCCACCAAAGCAAAGCAGGGUUGAGCCUUGCCAGUACCUGGAUGGGAGACCUCCUGGGAAGCUAUGGUUGCUGCUGGAA